CAGAGGAGGAAUCAUGUUUUGGGCUGAUUCUCUUGGAUCCAAGUACAUCUAUUCAAGACUCGAGGAGUGGUCGAAUUUAUACGGAGGAUUUUUUAAGCCUUGUGCCUUCUUGGCUGAAAGAGCUGCCAAGGGUGCUCCACUGAGUGCACCGGUGGAGAUGGGAAAAUCUAAACUAUGAAACUGCU